GCGGAAAUGUUCAGCGGAAAUGUUCAGCGGAAAUGUUCAGCGGAAAUGUUCAGCGGAAAUGUUCAGCGGAAAUGUUCAGCGGAAAUGUUCACUAGAAAUGUUCAGCGGAAAUGUUCACUAGAAAUGUUCAGUGGAAAUGUUAAGCGGAAAUAUUCCGCGGAAAUGUUCAGCAGAAAUGUUCAGCAAAAAUGAUCAGCAGAAAUGUUCAUCGGAAAUGUUCAGUGGAAAUGUUCAGCGGAAAUGUUCAGUAGAAAUGUUCAGCAGAAAUGUUCAGCAGAAAUGUCCAGAAGAAAUGUUCAGCAGAAAUGUCCAGAAGAAAUGUUCAGCGGAAAUGUUCAGUGGAAAUGAUCAGCGGAAAUGUUAAGCGGAAAUGUUAAGCGGAAAUGUUCACUAGAAAUGUUCAGCAGAAAUGUUCACUAGAAAUGUUCAGCAGACAUGUUCAGUAGAAAUGUUCAGCAGAAAUGUCCAGAAGAAAUGUUCAGCAGAAAUGUUCACUAGAAAUGUUCAGCAGAAAUGUUCACUAGAAAUGUUCAUCAGAAAUGUUCAUCAGAAAUGCUCACUAGAAAUGUUCAGCGGAAAUGUUCAGCAGAAAUGAUCAGUAAAAAUGAUCAGCAGAAAUGUUCAGUAGAAAUGUUCAGUAGAAAUGUUCAGCAGAAAUGUCCAGAAGAAAUGUUCAGCAGAAAUGUUCACUAGAAAUGUUCAGCAGAAAUGUUCACUAGAAAUGUUCAUCAGAAAUGUUCAUCAGAAAUGCUCACUAGAAAUGUUCAGCGGAAAUGUUCAGCAGAAAUGAUCAGUAAAAAUGAUCAGCAGAAAUGUUCAGUAGAAAUGUUCACUAGAAAUGUUCACUAGAAAUGUUCACUAGAAAUGUUCGGCGGAAAUGUUCAUCAGAAAUGUUCAUCAGAAAUGUUCAGUAGAAAUGAUCAGCAGAAAUGUUCAGUAGAAAUGUUCAGUAGAAAUGUUCACUAGAAAUGUUCACUAGAAAUGUUCGGCGGAAAUGUUCAUCAGAAAUGUUCAGUAGAAAUGUUCACUAGAAAUGUUCACUAGAAAUGUUCACUAGAAAUGUUCGGCGGAAAUGUUCAUCAGAAAUGUUCAGUAGAAAUGUUCACUAGAAAUGUUCACUAGAAAUGUUCGGCGGAAAUGUUCAUCAGAAAUGUUCACUAGAAAUGUUCAUCAGAAAUGUUCACUAGAAAUGUUCAUCAGAAAUGUUCACUAGAAAUGAUCAGUAGAAAUGUUCAUCAGAAAUGCUCACUAGAAAUGUUCAGCGGAAAUGUUCACUAGAAAUGUUCAGUAGAAAUGUUCAUCAGAAAUGUUCACUAGAAAUGUUCAGCAGAAAUGUUCACUAGAAAUGUUCAUCAGAAAUGUUCACUAGAAAUGUUCAUCAGAAAUGUUCAUCAGAAAUGUUCAUCAGAAAUGUUCACUAGAAAUGUUCAGCAGACAUGUCCAGAAGAAAUGUUCAGCAGAAAUGUUCACUAGAAAUGUUCAGCAGAAAUGUUCACUAGAAAUGUUCAGUAAAAAUGAUCAGCAGAAAUGUUCACUAGAAAUGUUCACUAGAAAUGUUCAGUAAAAAUGAUCAGCAGAAAUGUUCAGCAGAAAUGAUCAGCAGAAGUGUUCAGUAGAAAUGUUCACUAGAAAUGUUCAGCAGAAAUGUUCAGUAAAAAUGAUGAGCAGAAACGUUCAUCAGAAAUGUUCAGCAGAAAUGUUCACUAGAAAUGUUCAUCAGAAAUGCUCACUAGAAAUGUUCAGUGGAAAUGUUCACUAGAAUGUUC
ensembl:lncRNA